UACGGGGGGGGCAAGCGUUGUUCGGAAUUACUGGGCGUAAAGGGCGCGUAGGCGGUUGGAUAAGUCAGCUGUGGAAACCACGGGCUUAACUCGUGGCCUGCAGUUGAGACUGUCUGGCUUGAGUGUGGGAGAGGAGAGUGGAAUUCCUGGUGUAGCGGUGAAAUGCGUAGAUAUCGGGAGGAACACCUGUGGCGAAAGCGGCGCACUGGACCACAACUGACGCUGAGGCGCGAAAGCUAGGGGAGCAAACAGG
rnacentral:rRNA from 1 species